rnacentral:rRNA from 1 species
UUUAUGCGGACACUUCCUACAGGUAGCGUUGACCCUAAUUUUGGUCGUCGGGUACGCAAUCGCCGCCAGUUAAAUAGCUUGCAAAAUACGUGGCCUUAUGGUUACAGUAUGCCCAUCGCAGUUCGCUACACGCAGGACGCUUUUUCACGUUCUGGUUGGUUGUGGCCUGUUGAUGCUAAAGGUGAGCCGCUUAAAGCUACCAGUUAUAUGGCUGUUGGUUUCUAUGUGGCUAAAUACGUUAACAAAAAGUCAGAUAUGGACCUUGCUGCUAAAGGUCUAGGAGCUAAAGAAUGGAACAACUCACUAAAAACCAAGCUGUCGCUACUUCCCAAGAAGCUGUUCAGAAU